rnacentral:rRNA from 1 species
UACAGAGGUGGCAAGCGUUGUUCGGAAUUACUGGGCGUAAAGGGCGCGUAGGCGGUCUUGUAAGUCCCGUGUGAAAUCCCUCGGCUCAACUGAGGAACUGCACGGGAAACUGCUUGGCUUGAGUUCGGGAGAGGGAAGCGGAAUUCCGGGUGGAGCGGUGAAAUGCGUUGAGAUCGGAAGGAACGCCCGUGGCGAAAGCGAGGUCCUGGACGCCUACUGACGCUGAGACGCGAAAGCCAGGGGAGCGAACGGG